AGAGUUUGAUCCUGGCUCAGGACGAACGCUGGCGGCGUGCUUAACACAUGCAAGUGGAGCGACGAAGCGGGCUUCGGCCCGUGGCAGAGCCGCGAACGGGUGAGUAACACGUGGGUAACCUACCCCGAUGACCGGGACAACCCGAGGAAACUCGAGCUAAUACCGGAUGUUCUGCACUCUCGUAAGGGAGUUCAGCAAAGAUAGCUUCGGCCUUCGCAUCGGGACGGGCCCGCGGCCCAUUAGCUUGUUGGUGGGGUAACGGCCUACCAAGGCGACGAUGGGUAGCUGGUCUGAGAGGACGAUCAGCCACACUGGGACUGAGACACGGCCCAGACUCCUACGGGAGGCAGCAGUGGGGAAUCUUGCGCAAUGCGCGAAAGCGUGACGCAGCAACGCCGCGUGGGGGAAGAAGGCCUUCGGGUUGUAAACCCCUUUCAGUUGGGACGAAGCUUCGAGGGUUAAUAGCCUUCUGGAGUGACGGUACCUUCACAAGAAGCCCCGGCUAACUACGUGCCAGCAGCCGCGGUAAU
rnacentral:rRNA from 1 species